UACGUAGGGUGCGAGCGUUAAUCGGAAUUACUGGGCGUAAAGGGCGCGUAGGCGGUGCCACAAGUCACCUGUGAAAUCCCCGGGCUUAACUCGGAAAGGUCAACUGAUACUGUGCGACUAGAGUGCGGAAGGGGCAACUGGAAUUCUCGGUGUAGCGGUGAAAUGCGUAGAUAUCGAGAGGAACACCUGCGGCGAAGGCGGGUUGCUGGGCCGACACUGACGCUGAUGCGCGAAAGCCAGGGGAGCGAACGGG
rnacentral:rRNA from 1 species